UACGAAGGGUGCGAGCGUUAAUCGGAAUUACUGGGCGUAAAGCGUGCGCAGGCGGCUUUGCAAGACAGAUGUGAAAUCCCCGGGCUCAACCUGGGAACUGCAUUUGUGACUGCAAGGCUAGAGUACGGCAGAGGGGGAUGGAAUUCCGCGUGUAGCAGUGAAAUGCGUAGAUAUGCGGAGGAACACCAAUGGCGAAGGCAAUCCCCUGGGCAUGUACUGACGCUCAUGCACGAAAGCGUGGGGAGCAAACAGG
rnacentral:rRNA from 1 species